GACGAACGCUGGCGGCGUGCUUAACACAUGCAAGUCGAGCGGUAAGGCCCUUUCGGGGGUACGACGAGCGGCGAACGGGUGAGUAACACGUGGGUGACCUGCCCUUAGCUCUGGGAUAAGCCUGGGAAACUGGGUCUAAUACCGGAUAUGACUCCAUAACGCAUGUUGUGGGGUGGAAAGCCUUGUGCGGCUAGGGAUGGGCCCGCGGCCUAUCAGCUUGUUGGUGGGGUGAUGGCCACCAAGGCGACGACGGUAGCCGGCCUGAGAGGGCGACCGGCCACACUGGGACUGAGACACGGCCCAGACUCCUACGGGAGGCAGCAGUGGGGAAUCUUGCGCAAUGGGCGAAAGCCUGACGCAGCGACGCCGCGUGGGGA
rnacentral:rRNA from 1 species